rnacentral:rRNA from 1 species
UACAGAGGGUGCAAACGUUGUUCGGAAUCACUGGGCAUAAAGCGCAUGUAGGCGGCCCCGCAAGUGCGGUGUGAAAUCCCACGGCUUACCCGUGGAACCGCGCCGUGUACUACGGGGCUAGAGGAUGGUAGAGGAGGGCGGAACUCUUGGUGGAGCGGUGAAAUGCGUAGAGAUCAAGAGGAACACCGGUGGCGAAGGCGGCCCUCUGGUCCAUUACUGACGCUGAGGCGCGAAAGCUAGGGGAGCAAACGGG